AACGAACGCUGGCGGCAUGCCUAACACAUGCAAGUCGAACGAAGGCUUCGGCCUUAGUGGCGCACGGGUGCGUAACGCGUGGGAAUCUGCCCUUGGGUUCGGAAUAACUCAGAGAAAUUUGAGCUAAUACCGGAUGAUGACGUAAGUCCAAAGAUUUAUCGCCCAAGGAUGAGCCCGCGUAAGAUUAGCUAGUUGGUGGGGUAAAGGCCUACCAAGGCGACGAUCUUUAGCUGGUCUGAGAGGAUGAUCAGCCACACUGGGACUGAGACACGGCCCAGACUCCUACGGGAGGCAGCAGUGGGGAAUAUUGGACAAUGGGCGAAAGCCUGAUCCAGCAAUGCCGCGUGAGUGAUGAAGGCCUUAGGGUUGUAAAGCUCUUUCAGCUGGAGUGAAACGGUGCGCUCUAACAUAGCGUGCUAAUGACGGUACCAGCAGAAGAAGCACCGGCUAACUACGUGCCAGCAGCCGCGG
rnacentral:rRNA from 1 species